GAUGAACGCUGGCGGCGUGCCUAAUACAUGCAAGUCGAGCGAACGGACGAGAAGCUUGCUUCUCUGAUGUUAGCGGCGGACGGGUGAGUAACACGUGGAUAACCUACCUAUAAGACUGGGAUAACUUCGGGAAACCGGAGCUAAUACCGGAUAAUAUUUUGAACCGCAUGGUUCAAAAGUGAAAGACGGUCUUGCUGUCACUUAUAGAUGGAUCCGCGCUGCAUUAGCUAGUUGGUAAGGUAACGGCUUACCAAGGCAACGAUGCAUAGCCGACCUGAGAGGGUGAUCGGCCACCCUGGAGCGUAGCCGCGGUCCUGACUCCUACGGGAGGCAGCAGUAGGGAAUCUUCCGCAAUGGGCGAAAGCCUGACGGAGCAACGCCGCGUGAGUGAUGAAGGUCUUCGGAUCGUAAAACUCUGUUAUUAGGGAAGAACAUAUGUGUAAGUAACUGUGCACAUCUUGACGGUACCUAAUCAGAAAGCCACGGCUAACUACGUG
rnacentral:rRNA from 1 species